GCACCAGUCUCUUCGGAGGCGUGGGUUCGAAUCCCACCGCUGCCACUUUUUAACUGAUUAUAAUCAUCGAAAAGAUAGAGGCUGCCUGGCCG